rnacentral:rRNA from 1 species
AGCCGGAGAAGAAGCCCCGGCUAACUCCGUGCCAGCAGCCGCGGUAAUACGGAGGGGGCUAGCGUUGUUCGGAAUUACUGGGCGUAAAGCGCACGUAGGCGGGUAUCCAAGUUGGGGGUGAAAUCCCGGGGCUCAACCCCGGAACUGCCUCCAAAACUGGGUACCUAGAGUCCGAGAGAGGUGAGUGGAAUUCCCAGUGUAGAGGUGAAAUUCGUAGAUAUUGGGAAGAACACCAGUGGCGAAGGCGGCUCACUGGCUCGGUACUGACGCUGAGGUGCGACAGCGUGGGGAGCAAACAGGAUUAGAUACCCUGGUAGUCCACGCCGUAAACGAUGAGAGCUAGUUGUCGGGCAGCAUGCUGUUCGGUGACGCAGCUAACGCAUUAAGCUCUCCGCCUGGGGAGUACGGUCGCAAGAUUAAAACUCAAA